UAUAGGUUUUGAUGAAUGACAAACAAUGAAGUCAACUGUCAAACAUUGUUAUUAUGUGACAAACAAUCAAGAUUGAAUGCCAAGAAGCAUAUUGAUGAAGGGAUUGCACAGAAAAGCCAAGACGAGCUCAAAAUUUCAAGACCGAAGACCCAAGGCGUAGGUCGUUAGGUAGAACCAAUGUAAGAGCAACGUUUAAGUUAUCUCGUCU
rnacentral:lncRNA from 1 species